GUGACUUCUAACUCUGCUAUCAGCUGACUGAGUAACUAACUUUUCCUAAAGUUCUAGUUUAAGGUAAGGCUUUCCUUGCAUUCUAGUCUCCAGACUGGACAUGUGCCCGUAGUUAAAAGCGUGCUUGCUCACCCGUGGAUGCCAGGCAGAGAGGAUAAAGGGGUGCAGGACUGAGCUUGCUAGAGCUCGCAUUCCUGCCUUUCCCUUCGUCUGAUAGAUUGCUGUCAUUCUGGCCCCACGGCUGGCUCUACGUUGCGUAGUUACGGAAGGCUGGAUACGGCGUUCACAUACCCUCUCUUCCCUCGCCAAGGUGUCUGAUGAAGACGGUGGUGGACUGAAGCUGUUUCUGUGGCCGUUAGUCAGGGGUCAGUCUGAUGGCUGCACAAGCACUCCCCAAACGCAGAGAACUGUGUUCAGUGCAGUCGCUCAGUCGUGUCCGACUCUCUGCGACCCCAUGAAGCGCAGCACGCCAGGCCUCCCUGUCGGUGUGGGGUCACCAAAGCUCACAGCUCCAUCAGUUCUGCCUGGACACAAGCAACGCAGAGUGGUCCAAGAAAGAACUGGUGAUAAGACGGUCUCAGCCUGGCUUUCCACUGAUCCGUAUGGGCGCGUAGAGAUCAGGCUGUAGAGGGCCUCAUCUCUCUUCACGUGGAGAUACAGGCCUCAACAGCAGAAAGAUUCCACAAAAGCAGCUGGGAAGAUUACACAAAGCAGAGUUGACUUGAGUUUCCUGGUUAGUUAUAUGUGAUAUCAGAAGCAGAAUUCCACGGUCAGUAGAUCAUAAUGAGAGUAACAUUUUUGAAUAUAAUUUAAGGAGAUGUUGGUUUUUUCGGGUGUGCGUGUGUGUUUCUGAACAUAUGUUUUUAUGUGGGUGUAAAGUGUGUGUGUGUGUUAUGAAUUAGUUUCUGUUUCCAUAAAUACAAAAUGAGGCAUGCUUCAAUCAUGGGUCACCUAUGUACUGGUUAUUUUGAUUGUUUUCUUAACUGUACCCAAAGGAUAUUACUUUUAUUCAUUUUCCUAUGAAUAAACUCAUAUAAGUGAUAUGAGAGUUUUUUUUUCCAUUUUUUCUUUUUUCAGUUAAUUUUAACUUCAUUAUUAAGAUGAAUUGUAAUGAUGUUUAAAACCCCAGAGGCAAGCUGGCUUCAUUUGAUUUCGUCUUGUAGAUGAAAAAAAAAAACUGUUAGCAGUUCCAAUCUUCUGUGAAAUGUGCCCUGUGCUUUGUGCUUACAUUAUUAAUGUGCCUUUCAAAAUAGAAUUGAUUUGGUUCUUUCUUUUAAAAUAUAAAACAAUAAAUAUUUUAUAAGGAAAGGGAUAGAUUUUUUCUCUUUUUGGGGGUAUAAGCAAAUUGAAGCAGUAAAAAUGAUCUCAUCC
rnacentral:lncRNA from 1 species